AUUGUGCGGGUAUCUUCAAGAAGGGGCAACCAAGAUUAUAAUCAGUCCGCCGAGAGGUCCUCUACAUCCGACCAAGUAAGUUGCACUGAGCCUCUGCUAUCUUCAAAGGAAUGUCAUAGUUGAGGAAAAUCCGGAUCAAUAUGCACUGUCAUACACUGCUGUACCUGAAGAAAAAUCAAAGGUGUUGGAGUUUUGAGCCUCCUUUAGUCCCACAUCGGGGAACUCAAGUUCCCUAGAGGUCUUUAUUUUAGGUUAGUCACCUUUAUUAGUGAUUAGGUAUUAGACCAUUUGGAAUGAGAAUUGAGAUUUGGACCACUAAAUAUGUGGACUUGAUGAUUAUACCAUAAUAUUAAUAUAAUUAGUAUUAAUUGAUCAAGACAAGGCCCUUGGUAUUUGAAGAGCUAUGAAAUUUUGAAGAGUUGUGCGGUUUUAGAUACAUCCAAAAGGUAUUUGAAGAGUUAUGAAAUAGCCUACAUAACUAAAAACUCAGUUCCAUCGUAAAUCAUAUUUUUCAUUUCCUAUCUCUCCCAUACAAUAUUGAGAAAAGAAAACUAGAGUACACAACUCUAACAUAAAUGUUGGUUAGAGAGACAACACAAGUAAACAAAUUACUUGUAUUACACGCACAAAAUAUUACUUGAAUGUCAUUUGAAUAUAUGGUCUAGAUUCACAAGCUCACAUGUAACAUGCCGGACAUCUCCAACGAGAAAUUUACCCUGUUUCUUUUCAAUUUCUUACACUGCAUAUCUUUGUUGUUUUCCAUGGCAGGCAACGACUUCAGGUAAACUAGAGCAACGAAUAGUGAUGGUCUUUCAAAAGAUGAAUCUGAAAUCAAUAUUUGCCCCUUCAACUAUUGGAGCGGUAUGCCCUUUCUGCACUUUUCCGAUUAGAAGAUGCGACUAUGGGACAGAGGUUCAGGGCCGAAGGGGUAGAGGAAGACCUAGGAAAACUUUGGAAGAGACUCUAAGAAAAGACUUAGAGUACUUGGAUCUAACGGAGGACAUGACACAGGAUCGAGCACAAUGGCGUUCUAAGAUUCAUAUAGCCGAUCCCACUCAGUGACUUGGAUUUUCCAAGUCUCCAAUCGAGAAGUUUUCCUCACUCGGGAAAUUAAGGGAACACUACCCCAACCUACAUGCUCCACUCAGAAAGCUUCAACAUACAAGCUUCAACAAAAGAAAAUUCAAAGAACUUAGCGAAGAAGGCUUUGGUGUAUUUAACACAAUACGUUGAAAUGAAGGAAAGCUUAUUUAUUGAUAUCCCCGAUCAGCUACAAAUAUGUACAUAUACAUGAGUCAAAAUAAACACACACAAGACGGAGCCUUCACAAAGGUUGCUUAGGAGAAGUCUCAGCAGUCGGUAGAGCCCCAGAAAGAGAAGGCACCGGAGGGGGAUCAUUUGGAGCCUCAAUACUGGACAGAACCCUAGAAGGAGGAGGCAUCAGAGGUUGAUCAUUCGGAGCUUCAUUACGCGGUACAGCCCCAGAAGACGAAGGCAAUAAAUGCCUUUGGAACAAACCCACAAAUCUCUGAUGAUCAAGUAAAACCUGACCAUCAGUUUCCUUCAUCUGGUCAAGCUUCCUCUUCAUGUUUGUAGCAUAGUCAUGUGCGAGCCGGUGCAACUGUUUAUUCUCAUGCUUGAGCCCUCUAAUCUCCUGUUUGAGACUCAUCACUUCAGCCGCCAAGGAUUCAACUUGGCGGGUUCGAGCAAAUAGGCGUUGGGCCAUAUUAGACACAGAACCUGCACACUGAACACUGAGAGCCAGCGAAUCCUUAACAGCUAACUCAUCAGACCGUUUGGAAAGUAGUCUGUUAUCUUUGGGAGUGAGAAGGUUCCUGGCCACCACCGCAGCGGACAUAUCAUUCUUCAUCACGGAAUCCCCAACGGUAAGAGGACCAGUAGGAGAGACGAAGGAUGGGCGCCAUAUGUUGUCUGGAGAAGGCGGGGCUGCCUCUUCAACAAGGUUCAAGUCAAAACGACGGUCGGAGGGGCCAGACAUUUUCAAAGGUGUUGAAGAUAGAAGAGGUCGGACAAAUCAAGAUCUUAGAAGUGCAAGAAUGAAGCUUCUACUGGUGGAGAUUCAAGUGUGCUUUGGAACUUAAUGUCAGCCUCUAUAAAAAUCUGCACUCGACGGAGCUUCGGAAAUCGAAGAGGCGCCUGCUCAGAAAUCGAAGAGGCGUUUGCUUUCUCAAAAGCUGGGCUGCUUAGAGAUCACGAGGGUUGAUCUCAGAAAUCGAAGAGGCGUUUGCUUUCUCAAAAGUUGGGCUGCUCAAAGACCACGAAGGCCGAUCUCAGAAAUCGAAGAGGCGCUCGCUUUCUCAAAAGCUGGGCUCCCCAGAGACCACGAGGGCCGAUCUCAGAAAUCGAAGAGGCACCUACUUUUCCAGCCUUGUCAGCACCCGUCACACGCACACUCAGCUUUGCAGAAAUUAUGGGCAUUCUGUCGAAGACUUCUGGGGAAGUAGAAAACACAUGAAUCUUACUGUUCAAUCACCCACUUCCCACACGCAACAAUAGCUCAUGGGUACCACAGAUAACUUUGCCAAAGUUCUCUGCCAAAGUUGAGCACGUGAAGCUUGCAGCUCCCACUACAUCGCUCUGACCAAGAAAGGUAAAAGAAUAGCAAAGAAACAGCACUAACAAAGUUUAGACACAUAAAUUUUGAAGGUCUAGCUACCAUAUUAUUACCCACAAGGGUAAAGGAACAGUACCACUGCUGGAUAAUUGGAAAGUCCCUGUGUGUCAACCUCUGUGCUUCGUGGCAAUGUAGACUAGCAAACAUGCCCAACCUUUACUCACUUUCGAGAAAACACUCCCAACAAGAUUGCUUGCUCCAAAAUCGAAGAGGCACCGUCCUCCGAAUCUCGAGAGCCAGACUCCCAACAUGACUACUUUCUCAAAAGCGAAGAGAGGGUAAAGGAACAGUACCAUUGCUGGAUAAUUGGAAAGUCUCUGUGUGUCAACCUUUGUGCUUCGUGGCAAGGUAGACUAGCAAACAUGCCCAACCUUUACUCACAUUCGAGACAACACUCCCAACUGGAUUGCUUGCUCCAAAAUCGAAGAGGCACCGCUCUCCGAAUCUCGAGAGCCAGACUUCCAACAUGAUUACUUCCUCAAAAAUCGAAGAGACACUGCUCUACGAAUCUCGAGAGCCAGACCCCCAGCAUGAUUGCUUUCUCAAAAAUCGAAGAGGCAUCGUUCUCCGAAUCUCGAGAGCCAGAUACCACAGACCACUUUUUCAAAGUGCUCUGACAGAGUUAAAACAUGUGAAACUGGCAGCUCCCACUACCGUGCUAUGACCAAGCAGGGUAAAGGAAUAGCAUUACUACUUGUUGUUAGGGAGACUCCUAUAUAUGUCGACCUCCAUCCCCAACGGACAGGCAGACCUGCAAAAAUGCUCAACCCUUCAUCAUAUCUGAGAGGGCACUCCCAACGAAGCCUUUCGAAAUAUUCAGCUUUCUUUCCCCCCGAUAAUACCUCUGCAAACAAGCUAUACUAGAGCAAGAAUAUCUCAUAUCAUCAGGGUUAAAAGCAAGAGUAUCCCAUAUCAUGCUUUUUCCCUGUCUUUUCCUUUGGCCUUGUUUUUACCUGCAAGACAAGGAGAAAGAGAGCAAUCAGUCAGCACUUGGAUCAAGCUUCCAGCCAAGAACUGACUGCCUGGAACCCCUUACCUGAUUACUUACCUGGCAUUGCUCUCGAGUACUCAUCUUCAACAUCUUAUGUUUCCAGGGAAGAUUCCGCAUCUACUUGAGGAACAGAUAGGGCAAGUGCGAAGGAUACAAGGAAGCAUGUGGAGACAAGCGUAACAGCACACGUGCCGAUACACCCAUUACUCUGUCAAAAGCAAAAGUAUCCCAUAUCAGCAGGGUGGAACGUACUCUAGAUUUGAUGGACUUGUUUUGACCCUCAAAUUCUUCAGUCGGCCUUAUACUCUGGAGGAAACCAGAAAACCCUCCAGCUCAGUUCAAGAAUAAGCCUGUGGAAAGUUACUUCUUCAAAAGCAAAAGUAUCUCAUAUCAUCUCUUCUCAUUUUUCUUCUUUUUAUCCUUCAUGCUGCUGCAAGAUGGGGAGAAGGUGAACAAUCAGUCGGAGCUCUGAUUGCUUACCUUGUCUGUCACCUCUUUCAGCAGACCCCCUAGCUCGGCGACUUGGGAGACUCCUACUACAUGGUUUGUAUCGCGCUUGACCAAGCCUGAGACUACAAGUAAGCUUCAAGUGAAAUUGAUACAUUACCUUGUGCAUCUCCACCAGUUAAAGAUACCACCCCUGGAUGGAGGAAGAGUACUUCCAGAGAAGAUGCCACAUCUACCUAUGAGACAGAUAAGGCAAGUCAAGACGACAUCACACUCCGAUACUUAGAAGUUUCGUGAUUACGAGAUCAUUCUCCCACAAUAUUUCCUAAUGUCAUUUGUACUAAAUCAUUCACUUGUACUCACUAAAGGAAAGCUUGAACCUAUGUACUUGUGUAAACCCUUCACAAUUAAUGAGAACUCUUCUAUUCCGUGGACGUAGCCAAUCUGGGUGAACCACGUACAUCUUGUGUUUGCUUUCCUAUCUCUAUCCAUUUAUAUACUUAUCCACACUAAUGACCGGAGCAAUCUAGCGAAGAUCACAAAAAGCGACCGUUUUCGCUACCUAGGAUCUAUCUUGCAAGAGAACGGAGAAUUAGAUGGAGAUCUCAACCAUAGAAUACGAGCUGGAUGGAUGAAGUGUAAGAGUGCAUCUGGCAUGUUGUGUGACCGUCGUAGGUCACUGAAGCUCAAGGGAAAAUUUUAUAGGACGGCAAUAAGGCCAGCGAUGUUGUAUGGCACAGAAUGUUGGGCGGUGAAGCAUCAACACGUACACAAAAUGGGUGUAGCGGAGAUGAGGAUGCUUCGUGGGAUGUGUGGGCACACGAGAAAGGAUAAGAUUGGGAAUGAGGAUAUCCGAGGUAAAGUAGGAGUAGCCGAAAUUGUAGGAAAGAUGAGAGAAAAUCGGCUCCGAUGAUUUGGACAUGUGCAAAGAAGGCCGACUGACGCUCCGGUUCGAAGAUGUGACUACGGGACAGAGGUUCAGGGCCAAAGGGGUAGAGGAAGACCUAGGAAAACUUUGGAAGAGACUCUAAGAAAAGACUUAGAGUACUUGGAUCUAACGGAGGACAUGACACAAAACCGAGCGCAAUGGCGUUCUAGGAUUCAUAUAGCCGACCCCACUUAGUGGGAAAAGGCUUUGUUGUUGUUGUUGUUGUUGUUGUUGUUAAGCAAACUUGAUCUUUUCCUGGUGUAGCUCAUUGGUUUUGCAAUCGGAGUCAUCCCUCAGAUUCGAAAAUUACUUUUAGGAGAUGGUGCUCCUCUACGGGUGAUUCAAGAUACUGCUAAUUUGUUGGGGUAUAAAACUUAUGCCCGAACUGUAUCGAACCUUAAUGUUUUAUCCAUGAUCGACGCAAUUAUUGGCAACUAAUAUAGCUUCCCGUUCUUAAUACAGUUACAUGCUAGGGAAGAUACUAACCAUGCUUGGUCCUAUAGUUGUACAUAUCCAAAUGAACAAUUUGGUUCUCAAUUAGCAUAAAAGUAGAAUAAUUGUCUCGUGUUAAUCCCAACUUUACAAAACAUAUUCAGACCAGAUGGUUUUUGAAUUUCGGCUCAAAAGACGAGUGUGUUUUUUUAUACGAAGUGUUUGUAUCAUUUUUGUUGUUCACUUGGUAUCAGUUAAAGAGACUUGUUCUUUAUGAUUGCAGAGACGGAGCCAUCCCAUCUCUCAUUUUGAUAAUAGGAGGAAACCUACUUAAAGGUAAUAACUCGUACAAAUUCUAUUAGUGUCGUACUUAAUUGUUGGUUUAGUUCAGAACUUACUUCACAUUGUUGUUUCAGGCUUGCGAGGGUCAGGGAUUCAGAAAUCUCUUGUCGUUGGCAUCAUAGUUGUUCGUUAUGUUGCCCUGCCUCUUAUAGGCGUCUUGGUUGUUAAAGGGGCACUGAAAUUGGGUUGGUGCACUCUGAUCCAUUAUAUCUGUUUGUUCUUCUGCUUCAGUUUUCACUCCCACCUGCGAUGAACAUAGGUACGCUUGCUCUUCGACUGUUUGGCAACAAAAAGUGCAAUCAGAAGUUGCUCGCUCGCUCGCUCACACUUUUUCAUAACUAAUGUAAGUUUAUUCUCAAGUAUUGUUUAUUGAUCCUUUAAAAUAUGGCAGGAAUAAUGACGCUAUUAUUUGAAGCUGGAGAGAAUGAAUGUUCAGUUAUCAUGCUGUGGACUUAUGCUUUCGCUUCACUGUCAAUUACAUUCUGGUCCGCCGCCUUCAUGUGGCUUGUCGCGCGACUGUGAAUCAAAAUUUUACAUUGAAUUCUGUCUAAUUAAUACAAGAGUAGGCAAUUUGUCAGAAGAAAUAUUACGAAGCUCCACCCCGAGUCUGCAGGGAAGUACGAAGCUCUCAGUUCAGUUCCUCCCCGUCAUUGGAUUGAACAUGCAGAGCCACGGUUUGACUCCACAGCCCACCUAGAUGACGAAUCUAGUGGUUUGUGGCUAUGAUUUGGUCGAAGUAAAAAUGGUGGUGACUUUUCUUGGUGGUUUAGAGAGAAGGCAGAGAGAGAGCUCGAGUGUUAAGAACUCAAGAGAGAGUGUGUCUCGGUGUACAACGAGGGAAGGAGAUGGGAGUGACCGAGAGUUGGGAUUAAAACCCACUUAAAAUUUCCCUCUACAUAACAAAAACCAGUAGAGCCUUAAAUUACCAGAAAAGUGAUUAAUUCAUGUUGGAAUUUUUGGAUCGUCGGGGCCGCCCCACUCUAACGACACUGAUAUUAUCCCCAACUUAAUCAUUUGCCCAAUCCGUCAAGUGUGGGAUUUUACCACAAAAAACUUCGAUGUUAGUUAAAGUAGAGUAAUACUAUUUAAGUGAUUAAUUCUUGUUGAAAUUUUUGAAUCGUCGGGGCCGCCCCACCCUAACGACACUAAUAUUAUCUCCAACUUAAUCACUUGCCCAAUCCGUCAAGUAUGAGAUUUUACCAUAAAAAACCUCGAUGUUAGUUAAAAUAGAGUAAUACUAUUUAAACCUCUUUGGUUUAUUAGUUAGAGUGAGGUAAUUCUAUUUAAACUCUUUGGUUUUUCUUGCACCAUACCAAGUUGGAAUUUUUGGAUCGUCAGCCUGCUCCACUCUAAUGACACCGAUAUUAUCCUCAACUUAACAACUGCCUAAUCCGUCAUGAGAUUUUAGCAUAAAAACGAGUGGGGUAAUAAUAUUUAAACCUCUUUGGUUUUCCUUGCACCCACGAUGUGGGACUUUAACGAUUCAUGAAUUAAAAUUACUCAAAACUACAAUUUCAAGCCACUACAUUGCUACAAGCUUCAAAAAACCAGAAGAAAAAAAAAGGUAAAAUAAACAUCAAAAACCACUUCUAACCAAUAUAAUCACAGGUUGAAUGUUUCAACAACGCUAAAACACAGUAGGAUUAUAAAACAACAAUAUUUUUCAUAUAUUAAAAAAAAAAACAACUAUUAUUUAUUUAUUAAUUCCUAGCUCAACAAAAACUAAACUUUCGGGAAAAUGCAGAGUAAAAUAUAGGAAAGCUAACCUUUUGGCGCUUAGCUCUGGGUUCAUGAUCAAGCUUGGACCCUGGACCUUUGGAAGCCAUGGCUUCGGGUCGUCUGAUCCAGAAAACCAGUGGAUCUGGACAGUACGAUCAACGCCAGUGUGCUCUCUUCCCUUCCUGUAUCUCUCUCUCUCUUGCUCUUUUCUCUUUUCUUUUUGUGUUUUGUUUGUCUGUGACUGAGGACGCCCACCAACCUCUGAUGAAG
rnacentral:lncRNA from 1 species